UUUCAUUUUCUUGUUGAUCGCAGGGGAACACAGGAAGGUAUUACUCUUUCGUUGGUAAUAGCAGUUUACUUGGCUUUCCAGCAUUUUUCAAGAGCCGGCAGUUUGAGGAAAGCAAUUGAUCAAGGUUCGAUCCUAGCCACCUUAGCCGUGAUCUGUAUAGUUGCUGUCCUGUGCUUGCUGUUGAUCUAACUGACGAUACUUUCAUCAGUUUUCUGUAAAUUAUCGACCUUCAAUAAUAAGAUACGAGAAUUUGUGCGUGUUUUAGGCUAAUGGAUGUGAAGCAUUUUGCUUAAGACCAUUUGCUUGAAUACCUACUUGUUCAAUCUUUUUGUACAUAUAAAUAUCAUACUGGCUACAAUUAUAUGGUUCUCAUAUGAAUCUUAGCAGUAUAAGGUUAGAAUUUUCAUAAAUAAAGAUGUGAUGGGAGAAUUUUGUAACCUGUAAGUUAUGUUAAUGAUGUAUCAUUUUCUGCCUACAAGCACAAGGAUAUAAAGGGCAUUCUCCGAGAGAAAUGGCUAUUUUCGACUAAAAUAAUGGCAGUCAGUAACUUGCUUGGGUCGGUAUUAGUAAUAUGUGUUGUUCCUCCGGGAAUACAGCUGGUAGCUAAGAAGCAAGAAUACGGAUACGUAAUUCGAAAACAGUACGAUACAAUUAUGUCAAUAAUUUAUUUAUUUAUUUUUUAAGGAAACUUAAAUGUGCGGAUACGUGUAAAAUAAGUGUGUGAACAGGGUUAGACACUUCUAUUCUACUUCUGCCUAGAGACAAAAGAAAUGGAAAAUUUUUCCAAUUCUGUUUUAUAUGUUCUCGAAUCAAACCUUGAUAAAGGUCCGAUAUUUUUCAAUUGUUAUCCAAAUUUUUCUGUUUAUUUGACUGCUCCAAAUGUUUUGCGAUCCUCAAUGCCAGACAUUCAGAUGCAAAAUAUGCAUUGGAAAAGUGAUACUCAAUCUAUUGCUUUAAUUUACUGAGUAUAUUACAAAGAUAUGUUUACUACUCUUUAACCUAAGAGCAGUCAAUUCUUGUGUAAAAUGUGAGACCUUGUUAUUAAAAGUUAACAACAAAAAUACAGUGUGUUGUUCCUAAACUCUUUAUCUUGGGAUAACGCAAGUAUAUCUACAAUUUGGAACAAGGAUCAUGCUGAUCCCCCGACGAAGAGUGAAUCUUAACAGAUUUUUCAUUUAUAGAACUCUGAUGAUAGAGUUCAACUCCAAUUUGGCCAUCUUCUUGCGCCAAAGCUAAGUCCGUUAGAAGUUUUGGGCAUAUCUUCAAUAGAAACCAAACUGAAAACUGUUUAGUUUGAUCCCAAUAUUCCUCGAACCUUUUUAUAAAGGGGGAAAGAACAACGAAGAACUCGGAUACGCACUCCACAUCAUUCUACCCAUUUGGUAAUAUGGCCACAUUCUACCCAUUUGGUAAUAUGGCCACAUUCUACCCAUUUGGUAAUAUGGCCACAUUCUACCCAUUUGGUAAUAUGGCCACAUUCUACCCAUUUGGUAAUAUGGCCACAUUCUACCCAUUUGGUAAUAUGGCCACAUUCUACCCAUUUGGUAAUAUGGCCACAUUCUACCCAUUUGGUAAUAUGGCCACAUUCUACCCAUUUGGUAAUAUGGCCAAACCCCUGCGGAGAUGCUAAACCCAUAUAGAUUGUCAAACUUUAAUAGAUGAGGCAAGACAGUUAGAGGCGUUGCAAGGGAUCUUUCAUUCAAGAUCUUCCAUUAAAUGAUUAAUGUGACAACUCACUGCAACAAUCGCAUUACUAAGUCAAUAUAUCAAGUCUAGUCCCUAUAUAUCAGAUCUAGGAUUGAAAAAGGUCAUAAUAUUAAAUGCAUUUGAGCCUAAGACUGAUCGAUUGAUGUUUGAGACAAGGUGCCUCAGUUGUUUUAUUGAGAUUAUGUGUCUCUUCAUUCAACGAUUCUUACUAAUUUGCUUUUACUAUAAAGGCUAACACAUUGUGCAAUCCAAAUAUAAUUAAAUUUUAGACUCUCAAAGUUACAAAUUUGUUCUCUCACAAUUCCAGAUUUUUCGAACCCGAACCCCUUUCACUUAAGUGAUUUACGUCUUAAGCAUAUUUCACGCCCAAAAUGUACUAAAACAUUGGUUGAGUUGAUUGUUGAAGUGCUCACGAUCGCCUCUACACCAUCAAAGAUUGACCACGUACUCUAACAAUUUGUCCAAGGGUAACUAAGUGGACAUGAAGAGGAGCUGAAAUUUGUUGGUCAUGUCACCCCAACACAAAUCAAGGUAUACAUAUAAGUGCAAGAAGAAUAGGGUGUUAGACAUUAUGUUGUCAAACGACCUCCUGGGCGAUGAUGAGAACCAAUUUUAUCAGUCGACAUAAAUGACUGAACGAUAAUUCAACAUCGAAUAAUGGAUGAACCGACCAAACGUUGCCUUACCUAUUGGACGGCUAAUAUUCUUUGUGGCUUGUUGAUUUCUUCCAUUGGAAGUUAACCCUAGUCGAGCCUACUUACCAUAUCCCGACUUACCUUAUGUUGGCCACUUGACUUACUAUAUAUAUUGGUGUCUUUGCCUUUGUUGGAACCGUCCAUAAGUUGAAACCGUCCAACCGUGUCCAAGCCGUGAGAAACUGCCGAGUUCUUCUGCCUUCAUCUCCUUCGUGAUUUCUUCUCCACCCAAAUUGCUUGAGUCUUUGUGAACCUUACCUGAGUGGUAUCCAUCCUAAGUGUGUGGAUUGAAUCAAUUAAGCAAGAGAAGAAAGCAACCAUAGGAAGAAGAGGCGCCGGCGGAUGGGUCGUUCCAGUUUUGAUGUUGAACUCGGUUUUAAUGGUUAACUGAGCCCGGGAAUCAGCGUGAGCAGCAAGAGGAAGGUCCUAACAUAGGGGAAUAAGAAACACAAACAAGCGAAAUAAGCAAACUAAAAUAUUUAAUAGUCAAAACGUUUAAAGCUCAAUGAACACGAAAUCUUGUUUGUUGAUGCUAAAAUAUGGCAAUACGCUUUUUAGGCAAUUUCUAAUGAAAAAGCUCCAAUAUUAGCCACUAAGAUUAAAAACCGAAUUAUUUAGUCUAACGUUGAAAACGUUGGGAAUGCAAUUGUCGAAUACUCUCCAGUGCUCAAGUGAGUAAGAUCUCAAUAAUGUCGAAUCCAAGUGAAGAUUGAGAUAAUUGUAAGCGCACCGCAUACUUUUUAUGAGCCACUCAAAUAAUUUUCCGUGUUUUUAUUGGUUUAUUCAGGUGGAACGUCACAAAUAUAGUAAUUUUGAGCUUAAGCUAUCAAAUUAAGAAUACAUUGGUCGAUUAUCUAAUUGACAAAAGUAUAAAAUUAGAAUUAUGCUAUUUGUAUAGAAAGGACGGUCUAGAAAAAGUGCCAGAAGAUGAGUUGGAGAAAAAUGAUUAAAUGAAAAAAGCCAACUACGUUUUAAAUUAUCCAAUUAUAUAAUGCGAUGCUAAAUUAUGUAAAAUAUUAUAUAAGUCUUAAUGUAUUUAUAACAAGAUCUAUAGAAUUAAUCAAUUAUUUUAUUACUCAACUCAUCGUUACUUCAAAGGUAAGUGUUAUAUUAUUCAGUCUUUGAUAAUGUUGAUAUUCCCUUCCACGCACAUAUUAUCUAUAUCAGUUCGAUCAUUUAUGAAAAAGAAAAAUAACAAAUUGGAGAAAGAAAGAAAAAUAUCUCACACCGUUUAGAAGAGUCUCUUAGGAGAUUUUUUAAUAAUAUUUACUUUUUUCUUGUCACGCCAACUAAAUAUAUUCUUACAUGUGUGGCAUUAAAAAACUAGUCAUGUUAUUUGUACAAUAUUUUUUUUUUUACAAUCUUGAUUUGCAACACACGCUUAACAACAUUAAAUUCAUUUAUUCUAAAAUUAUUUUUUAAAUUAAUAAUCCAAAUUUUGAUAACAUCAAUAUUAUCACUCAGAAUUGUACAAAAUUGUACAAAUAACUUUAUUCUCAAAAAAUAAUGUGUAUUAUCUACUUUAGCGUAGUUGAUGAUUUUUUGAGUAAUGCUAUUUUAAUUAUUAAAUAAAUUAUUUAAUUUCAUAAUUCAUUCGCUCUAUUCUUUGGUGGGGGCUUCAUAGCAUUAUUCAAUAUUUUAGAGUAAUUUACGUCGGCACUGAAUAUGUCGAAUUUACUCUUCAAUCAUCCAUUAAAAAAAAUCUGCUUAGAGGAGACGACCUUUGACAAAUGGCAGACCAUAACUCGUACUUGUCAAUCUCAGCAUCUGUCAUUUCUACUACCCAAAACCAACUCUAUAUAAGCCCCUCUAUUAUUUUGGUACCAAAGGCCAUUGAUAAUAAUCUUUAAAAGAGGUGGAUCAAAAGACAGAGGUAAGUAGGAGAUGCUGACCCUUUCUCUCUCUUCUUGUUCUCUGUACAGCACCAAGAACUCUCUCACCCUAAAAACCCCGCACUCUUAUCAAAAUCGAGUCUUUUUUCACAAUCGCGCUCUUCAGCAACGACCCUUUAGCUCGCUCAGCUAUAAUCCAUUGAGGUGAGUAUAUAUACUACAUAAAUUUGGAAUCUUUGUCAUAGUUUUCUUGAAGUUUUGUCUAAGGAUUAUAUUCUGUGAUGGGGGUUGCAGAGUGUCGAUUGACGACGGUAAAAAGACGAUGAUGAAUAAUAGACGACAUGGGUUUGGGACGGUGUGUUACUAUGGGCCACUGACGCAUAGGAAUCUUCAGUGGAUCUCCACCAUUUCUACUGCGUAUGUGUAUUAUUUUUAGAUUGUUAUUAUGGGUUAAUUGUUGCAGUAAAAUUUCUUGAUUCUUCUACUGAAAAAAAUAGAAACGGCCGGUGGAUCGACUGAUUUGAUCACAUGAAGAUGAUGAACUAAUUGUUGAGUCUCGAAUCCAUCUUAAAGUCUACUUUGUUACCAGGGCUAGCCCAAUUUUUUAUGAUUUUCAUAUUUAAUUGAUGUGAAAUUUUGCUUUUAACAUGAUCUGGAUGACUGUGGCUUGGUUGAGAACCCCCAGUAUUGACGUAUAAAGGUAGAUUAUUGUCGAAAUUCGUUGAAGAAGUGCACAAGAAUUUAUGAACUGUUGGAAUCCAUUUAAUUCUUUUCUUAGAGAUUUGAAAUGAUCUAAUUCUCCGAAGGAAUGGAUAGUGUAAUUAAUCUUAAAAGAAAAAAAAAACUAUUUUAAUCUUUUCUUAAAAUGCCAAGAUCAUACUAACAAAAUUAAUUUUCAGGGUUCUAAUGCUGGCGAGGGGAACAGCCAUUCACAAAUCCUUUCUUGUACCUUUAUUUGCCCUACAGGCUCCAGAAAGCAUUGUUUCAUGGAUUAAGUAAACCUUUCAAGUUAUCUUAAUCUCUGUUUCAUAUUAUAAUCUGCUUGCGGCUGUUAAUUAAUUCAACUUAGUUUUGUUGUUCCAUUACAGGGGUGAGUAUGGCAUAUGGACUGCUUUCUUGGCUCUUCUCGUUCGCCUCUUCUUCUUUAUUCCUGGUAGGAUAUUUCUCUUCAGAGUUCAGAGUUCUCCAAUUUAUUUGUUGAAUUUUUCAUUCUGUAAGUUAUUAUACCAGUAAGACUCUUGAGUGGACAGCCACACGUGCUCACUCGCUUCCUUAUACAUAGGGUGUUCGACAGAGUUCAAAUUUUCUUGAGAAAUGUCUUACGAGAUACCCAACAAAUAAAGUAGAUAUCAAAAUACUUAAUUAAAAUAAUCCAAACAAUAAAAUAAAGUGGAUUAGAGAGCAGUUGCAGCGUAUUCAGUGCUGUAAUGUCGAGUGCAUCUUGAUUUUGUCUGGAUAAUGUAGUCUUAACUUCUUUCUUCGACUUAUGUGAUAUCGGCUUUUCUGUAGGUGAACUGGAGUUGCCAUUUAUAACAUUGCUAUUGAUAAUUGUGUGUCCUCAUCAAAUUACAAGGCUGAGGUUAGUAGAUCCAUUAUAGACAGUUGACAAGGUUUUUUCUACUUAUUUGAACUAAUUUCGUGUUUCAUUUUCUUGUUGAUCGCAGGGGAACACAGGAAGGUAUUACUCUUUCGUUGGUAAUAGCAGUUUACUUGGCUUUCCAGCAUUUUUCAAGAGCCGGCAGUUUGAGGAAAGCAAUUGAUCAAGGUUCGAUCCUAGCCACCUUAGCCGUGAUCUGUAUAGUUGCUGUCCUGUGCUUGCUGUUGAUCUAACUGACGAUACUUUCAUCAGUUUUCUGUAAAUUAUCGACCUUCAAUAAUAAGAUACGAGAAUUUGUGCGUGUUUUAGGCUAAUGAAUGUGAUGCAUUGUGCUUGAAUACCUACUUGUUCAAUCUUUUUGUACAUAUAAAUAUCAUACUGGCUACAAUUAUAUGGUUCUCAUAUGAAUCUUAGCAGUAUAAGGUUAGAAUUUUCAUAAAUAAAGAUGUGAUGGGAGAAUUUUGUAACCUGUAAGUUAUGUUAAUGAUGUAUCAUUUUCUGCCUACAAGCACAAGGAUAUAAAGGGCAUUCUCCGAGAGAAAUGGCUAUUUUCGACUAAAAUAAUGGCAGUCAGUAACUUGCUUGGGUCGGUAUUAGUAAUAUGUGUUGUUCCUCCGGGAAUACAGCUGGUAGCUAAGAAGCAAGAAUACGGAUACGUAAUUCGAAAACAGUACGAUACAAUUAUGUCAAUAAUUUAUUUAUUUAUUUUUUAAGGAAACUUAAAUGUGCGGAUACGUGUAAAAUAAGUGUGUGAACAGGGUUAGACACUUCUAUUCUACUUCUGCCUAGAGACAAAAGAAAUGGAAAAUUUUUCCAAUUCUGUUUUAUAUGUUCUCGAAUCAAACCUUGAUAAAGGUCCGAUAUUUUUCAAUUGUUAUCCAAAUUUUUCUGUUUAUUUGACUGCUCCAAAUGUUUUGCGAUCCUCAAUGCCAGACAUUCAGAUGCAAAAUAUGCAUUGGAAAAGUGAUACUCAAUCUAUUGCUUUAAUUUACUGAGUAUAUUACAAAGAUAUGUUUACUACUCUUUAACCUAAGAGCAGUCAAUUCUUGUGUAAAAUGUGAGACCUUGUUAUUAAAAGUUAACAACAAAAAUACAGUGUGUUGUUCCUAAACUCUUUAUCUUGGGAUAACGCAAGUAUAUCUACAAUUUGGAACAAGGAUCAUGCUGAUCCCCCGACGAAGAGUGAAUCUUAACAGAUUUUUCAUUUAUAGAACUCUGAUGAUAGAGUUCAACUCCAAUUUGGCCAUCUUCUUGCGCCAAAGCUAAGUCCGUUAGAAGUUUUGGGCAUAUCUUCAAUAGAAACCAAACUGAAAACUGUUAAGUUUGAUCCCAAUAUUCCUCGAACCUUUUUAUAAAGGGGGAAAGAACAACGAAGAACUCGGAUACGCACUCCACAUCAUUCUACCCAUUUGGUAAUAUGGCCACAUUCUACCCAUUUGGUAAUAUGGCCAAACCCCUAUGGAGAUGCUAAACCCAUAUAGAUUGUCAAACUUUAAUAGAUGAGGCAAGACAGUUAGAGGCGUUGCAAGGGAUCUUUCAUUCAAGAUCUUCCAUUAAAUGAUUAAUGUGACAACUCACUGCAACAAUCGCAUUACUAAGUCAAUAUAUCAAGUCUAGUCCCUAUAUAUCAGAUCUAGGAUUGAAAAAGGUCAUAAUAUUAAAUGCAUUUGAGCCUAAGACUGAUCGAUUGAUGUUUGAGACAAGGUGCCUCAGUUGUUUUAUUGAGAUUAUGUGUCUCUUCAUUCAACGAUUCUUACUAAUUUGCUUUUACUAUAAAGGCUAACACAUUGUGCAAUCCAAAUAUAAUUAAAUUUUAGACUCUCAAAGUUACAAAUUUGUUCUCUCACAAUUCCAGAUUUUUCGAACCCGAACCCCUUUCACUUAAGUGAUUUACGUCUUAAGCAUAUUUCACGCCCAAAAUGUACUAAAACAUUGGUUGAGUUGAUUGUUGAAGUGCUCACGAUCGCCUCUACACCAUCAAAGAUUGACCACGUACUCUAACAAUUUGUCCAAGGGUAACUAAGUGGACAUGAAGAGGAGCUGAAAUUUGUUGGUCAUGUCACCCCAACACAAAUCAAAGUCUACACAUUAUGUGCAAGAAGAAUAGGGGAAUAAGAAACACAAACAAGUGAAAUAAGCAAACAAAAAUAUUGGAUAGUCAAAAUGUUUAAAGUUCAAUGAACACGAAAUCUUGUUUGUUGAUGAUAAAAAUUGGCAAGACGCUUUUUAGGCAAUUUCUAAUGAAAAAGCUCCAAUAUUAGCUGCUAAGACUAAAAAUCGAAUUAUUUAGUCUAACGUUGAAAAUGUUGGGGAUGCAAUAGUCGAAUACUCUCCAAUGCUCAAGUGAGUAAGAUAUCAAUAACGUUGAAUCCAAGUGAAGAUUGAGAUAAUUGUAAGCAUACUGCAUACUUUUUAUGAGCCACUCAAAUAGUUUUCUGUGGUUUUUAUUGGUUUAUUCAGGUGGAACGUCACAAAUAUAGUAACUUUGAGCUUAAGCUAUCAAAUUAAGAAUUCAUUGGUUGAUUAUCUAAUUGACAAAGGUAUAAAAUUAGAAUUAUGCUAUUUGUAUAGAAAGGACGGUCUUGAAAAAGUGCCAGAAGAUGAGUUGGAGAAAAAUGAUUAAAUGAAAAAAGCCGACUGUGUUUUAAAUUAUCCAAUUAUAUAAUGUCAUGCGAAACUAUGUAAAAUAUUAUAUAAGUGUUAAUGUAUAUAUAACAAGAUCUAUAGAAUUAAUCAAUUAUGUUAGGACUCAACUCAUCGUUACUUCAAAGGUAAGUGUUAUGUUAUUUAGUCUUUGAUAAUGUCGAUAUUCCCUUCCACGCACGUAUUAUCUAUAUCAGUUCGAUCAUUUAUGAAAAAGAAAAAUAACAAAUUGGAGAAAGAAAGAAAAAUAUCUCACACCGUUUAAAAGAGUCUCUUAGGAGAUUUUUUGAUAAUAUUUACUUUUUUCUUGUCACGCCAACUAAAUAUACUCUUACAUGUGCGGCAUUGAAAAAUCAGUCAUGUUAUUUGUACAAUAUAUAUUUUUUACAAUUUUGAUUUGCAACACACGCUUAACAACAUUAAAUUCAUCUAUUCUAAAAUUAUUUUUUAAAUUGAUAAUCCAAAUUUUGACAACAUCAAAAUUAUCACUCACAAUUGUACAAAAUUGUACAAAUAACUUUAUUCUCGAAAAAUAAUGUGUAUUAUCUACUUUAGCCUAGUUGAUAAUCUUUUUGAGUAAUGUUAUUUAGCCCCUGUUUGGUUCUAAUUAUUUUUUCAUUAAAAUGAAAAAUAUGACCCUUAUUCAUCACAUCAAGCCAUCAAAUUUGAAUUUCUAUAUCUUGUGUGAGGCCCGUAACGGUUAUAUUUUUCAUUCUCAUUCUUCUAAAAAUAAGAAACAAACGGGAACUUAGUUAUUAAAUAAAUUAUUUAAUUUCAUAAUUCAUUCGCCCUAUCAUCUAGUGGGGCUCCAUAGAAUUAUUCAAUAUUUUAGGGUCCGUUUGAUUGCAAAGGUGGAACUUGGGUGGAAAGAAAACGAAUUUCAGGGAAUUGAAUUGAUGGGAAAUUGUUUUCUCGGGAAUUGUAAAUUAUUGUGUUUGAUUGAUAUAAUUUUUCACGUGAAAAAUAUUUCAAUUAAAGUGUUUUUUGAUGUCCAUUUGACUUUGUUUUACAUAAAAAUUGUCAAUUAAACGGAUAAAAUUUACUGGUAUUGGGGAUGAAAUUUGUUUCCAUUGCCAAAACAAAAAAAACAAAAAAAAAAUUCAAGAAAAUCAUCUAUCUUUUUAUGUUCGUUUGGCUUUGUUUUACAUGAAAAUUGUUAAUUAAAGAAAAAUAUUUUUUUUUUGCAAUAAUUCUUAGAAUUUGUCUUCAUUGUCAACACAGAAAAAAAAAAUCGAAAAAAAUUUAAAAAAUGCUACAGUAACCGGGAAAAUGGUAAUCCAUUUUCCCCAAUUAGAUGGAAAAUAUUCAUGUGGCAACAAAAGCAAGAAAACUAAUUUCAUAGAAAAUAAAUGGUAUCAAAUAUCAUUAAUUGAGUAAAAGAUGAAAAACUUAUUCCGUUUUUCAUGAAAUUUGUUCAAAUCAAACACUGCCAUGGAGUAAUUUACGUUAUCAUUGAAUAUGUCGAAUUUACGCUUCAAUCAUCCAUAAAAAAUAUCAGCUUAGAGGAGACUGCCUUUGACAAAUGGCAGACCAUAACUGUACUUGUCAAUCCCAACAUCUGUCUUUUCUACUAUACAAAACCUACCCUAUCAGCCCCUCUAUUAUUUUGGGACCAAAGGCCAUUGAUUUAAUCUUUAAAAGAGGUGGAUCAAAGGACUUAAAUAGGAGAUGCUGACCCUUUCUCUCUCUUCAUUUUCUCCGUACAGCACUCUCAUCAAAGUAGAGUCCUUUUUCACAAUCGUGCUCCAGUAACGACCCUUUAGCUUACUCAGCUAUAAUCCAUUGAGGUGAGUAUAGAUACUACAUAAAUUUGGAAUCUUUAUCAUAGUUUUCUUAAAGUUUUGUCUAAGGAUUAUAUUCUGUGAUGGGGGUUGCAGAAUGUCGAUUGACGACGGCACAAAGACGAUGAUGAAUGAGAGACAUGGGUCUGGGACGGUGUGUUUGACACCUACGAAUCUUCAGUGGAUCUCCACCAUUUCUACUGCGUAUGUGGAUUACUUUUAGAUUGUUUUUAUGGGAUAAUUGUUGCCGUAAAUUUCUUAAUUCUUCUACUGAAAAAAAAAAAGAAACGGUCAGUGGAUCCACUGAUUUGAUCACACGAAGAUGAUGAACUAAUUGUUGAGUCUUGAAUCCAUCUUAAAGUCUACUUUGUUACCAGGGCUAGCUCAAUUUCUUAUGAAAAAAAAAAAAAAAACCUAUUUAAAUCUUUUCUUAAAAUGCCAAGAUCAUACUAACAAAAUUAUGUUUUUCAGGUUUCUAAUGUUGGCGAGGGGAACAGCCAUUCACAAAUCCUUUCUUGUACCUUUAUUUGCCCUACAGGCUCCAGAAAGCAUUGUUUCAUGGAUUAAGUAAACCUUUCAAGUUAUCUUAAUCUCUUUUUCAUAUUAUAAUCUGCUCGCGGCUGUUAAUUAAUUCAACUUAGUUUUGUCGUUCCAUUACAGGGGUGAGUAUGGCAUAUGGACUGCUUUCUUGGCACUUCUCGUUUGCCUCUUCUUCUUUAUUCCUGGUAGGAUAUUUCUCUUCAGAGUUCAGAGUUCUCCAAUUUGUUCGUUGAAUUUUUCAUUCUGUAAGUUAUUAUACCAGUAAGACUCUUGAGUGGACAGCCACACGUGCUCACUCGCUUCCUUAUACAUAGGGUGUUCGACAGAGUUCAACAUUUUCUUGAGAAAUGUCUUACGAGAUACCCUUUCAGCAAAUAAAGUAGAUAUCAGAAUAGUUAAUUUCCAUAAUCCAAACAAUAAAAUAAAGUGGAUUAGAGAGCAGUUGCAGCAUAUUCAGUGCUGUAAUGUCGAGGGCAUCAUGAUUUUGUCUGGAUAAUGUCGUCUUAACUUCUUUCUUUCUUCAACUUAUGUGAUAUCGGCUUUUCUGUAGGUGUACUGGAGUUGCCAUUAAUAACAUUGCUAUUGAUAAUUGCGUGUCCUUCUCAAGUUACAGGGCUGAGGUUAGUAGAUUCAUUAUAGACAGCUGACAAGGUUUUUUCUACAUAUUUGAACUAACUUCGUGUUUCAUUUUCUUGUUGAUCGCAGGGGGACAGAGGAAGGUAUUACUCUUUCGCUGGUAAUAGCAGUUUAUUUGGCUUUCCAGUAUUUUGCAAGAGCCGGCAGUUUGGGGAAAGCAAUUGAUCAAGGUUCGAUUCUAGCCACCUUAGCUGUGAUCUGUAUAGUUGCUGUCCCGUGCUUGCUGUUCAUCAGUUUUCUGUAAAUUAUCGACCUCCAAUAAUAAGAUACGAGAAUUUGUGCGUGUUUUAGGCUAAUGGAUGUGAAGCAUUUUGCUUAAGACCAUUUGCUUGAAUACCUACUUGUUCAAUCUUUUUGUACAUAUAAAUAUCAUACUGGCUACAAUUAUAUGGUUCUAAAAUGGAUUAAAUUAUAUACACCCCCACCCCCCAAGGAAGCCCUUGCUCAUCAUGUAGAAAAAUAUAAUUUUGACAUAUUGACUUUGUUCAAGUUGCGGUCAAACCAUUGUUUCGAACAUGGUUAGACACUUCUAUUCUACUUCUGCCUAGAGAGAGAAGAAAUGGAA
rnacentral:lncRNA from 1 species